rnacentral:rRNA from 1 species
AGAGUUUGAUCCUGGCUCCGAUUGAACGCUGGCGGCAGGCUUAACACAUGCAAGUCGAGCGGAGAUGAGGUGCUUGCACCUUAUCUUAGCGGCGGACGGGUGAGUAAUGCUUAGGAAUCUGCCUAUUAGUGGGGGACAACAUUCCGAAAGGAAUGCUAAUACCGCAUACGUCCUACGGGAGAAAGCAGGGGAUCUUCGGACCUUGCGCUAAUAGAUGAGCCUAAGUCGGAUUAGCUAGUUGGUGGGGUAAAGGCCUACCAAGGCGACGAUCUGUAGCGGGUCUGAGAGGAUGAUCCGCCACACUGGGACUGAGACACGGCCCAGACUCCUACGGGAGGCAGCAGUGGGGAAUAUUGGACAAUGGGGGGAACCCUGAUCCAGCCAUGCCGCGUGUGUGAAGAAGGCCUUAUGGUUGUAAAGCACUUUAAGCGAGGAGGAGGCUACUGAGACUAAUACUCUUGGAUAGUGGACGUUACUCGCAGAAUAAGCGCCGGCUAACUCUGUGCCAGCAGCCGCGGUAA